GCUGGCAGCAGAGCGCUGCAUCAGCCUCCAGGCUCCCAUCGGGAGGGAGCACUGCCCGUCCAAGCAGUCCAGAUGCUCUCCUCUGAGGGCUUGGUCCCCUGGGGCUUGGCGCGGGAGCCCUGGCCCCACUCAUGAGGAGGCUCUGUGUGUUCGGGGAAAGAGCUCGUGGAGAAGCAACAGGGAAUGGCCUCACCGUGACCCCAGCCUCAAACAUACCAGCUUUGAAGAAGUCUCUAAAAAAGCUUUUGUGCCAGUCCCGUGACUGCAAACCCCAGUGCAGCCUGUGUUCCAGGAGCUUCAACUCCCUACCUGCUCCGUGCAAGGUUGCUUGCAAGAUUGUCCAGAACGUGCCAUGAUAGCAUCACCCUCCCCAGACCCCAUGCGAUGACUUCUGAAGCCUCCUAGCCCAUAGCCCCUGUGGGCACCAGUGCAGACACAGUCUCCUCUCCUGGCCCACCCUGCAAAACUCCAGCACGUAUGACAUGGCAUCGUGCUCAGCUGCCUUGCCUGCUCAUUGCUGCCUUAUUCCUGCCUUUGAGUCUAAUGCUGGAGAGCUGCUGAAGCCAGGUAACCUGUAGGUGUCCCUGAAAUUGCUUGUGUGAGGGGGGAGAGCAUGGGGGGGCUCACGUAAUUGAAACAAUCCUUCUCUCAAUCACUGUUCUGCAAUGUUUAUGCCUCACGCUUUGCCUCUGAUGUUGAGAGCAAGCUGAUAGCCAUGGUAUUAAUAAGUUGUUUGUACAA